AUUUCUUUAGUAUAGUAGUACUAAUGCCUUCCAAGCAUUAAGCCCCACCCGGGAAGGAAUA
rnacentral:tRNA from 1 species